rnacentral:rRNA from 1 species
GAUCCUGGCUCAGGACGAACGCUGGCGGCGUGCCUAACACAUGCAAGUCGAGCGGGGACAUAGAUUUCGGUUUAUGUUCUAGCGGCGGACGGGUGAGUAACGCGUGAAUAAUCUGUCCCUUACAGGGGGAUAACACUUGGAAACAGGUGCUAAUACCGCAUAAGACCACGAUAUCGCAUGAUACUGAGGUCAAAGGAGCAAUCCGGUGAGGGGUGAGUUCGCGUCCCAUUAGAUAGUUGGUGAGG